rnacentral:rRNA from 1 species
AGUGAACGCUGGCGGUAGGCCUAACACAUGCAAGUCGAACGGCAGCACAGUAAGAGCUUGCUCUUACGGGUGGCGAGUGGCGGACGGGUGAGGAAUACAUCGGAAUCUACUUUUUCGUAGGGGAUAACGUAGGGAAACUUACGCUAAUACCGCAUACGACCUACGGGUGAAAGCAGGGGAUCUUCGGACCUUGCGCGAUUGAAUGAGCCGAUGUCGGAUUAGCUAGUUGGCGGGGUAAAGGCCCACCAAGGCGACGAUCCGUAGCUGGUCUGAGAGGAUGAUCCGCCACACUGGAACUGAGACACGGUCCAGACUCCUACGGGAGGCAGCAGUGGGGAAUAUUGGACAAUGGGCGCAAGCCUGAUCCAGCCAUACCGCGUGGGUGAAGAAGGCCUUCGGGUUGUAAAGCCCUUUUGUUGGGAAAGAAAAGCAGCAGGUUAAUACCCCGCUGUUCUGACGGUACCCAAAGAAUAAGCACCGGCUAACUUCGUG